GCGAGUCACUUGUCAGCGCUCGUCUGAGCCGGAGGUAUCGCCGCGCCGGACCCGAGUUUCUUUCAUUUUUGGGCAUUGGACUUUGAGCCAUUAGAACCAUGAGCAACUACAGUGUGUCCUUGGUUGGCCCAGCUCCUUGGGGUUUCCGGCUACAAGGUGGCAAGGAUUUCAACAUGCCUCUGACAAUCUCUAGCCUAAAAGAUGGUGGCAAAGCAUCCCAGGCAAACGUAAGAAUAGGUGAUGUGGUUCUCAGCAUUGAUGGAAUAAGUGCACAUGGCAUGACUCAUCUUGAAGCCCAGAACAAGAUUAAGGGUUGUACAGGCUCUUUGAAUAUGACUCUGCAAAGAGCAUCUGCUACACCCAAGCCUGAGCCGGUUCCUGUUCAAAAGGGAGAACCUAAAGAAGUAGUUAAACCUGUGCCCAUUCCAUCUCCUGCUGUGUCCAAAGUCACUUCCACAACCAACACGGCCUACAAUAAGGCACCACGACCCUUUGGUUCUGUGUCUUCACCAAAAGUCACAUCCAUCCCAUCACCAUCGUCCGCCUUCACCCCAGCCCAUGCGACCACUUCAUCACAUGCUUCCCCUGCACCCGGGGCCGCUGUCACUCCUCCCCCAUUCGCUGCAUCUGGACCGCAUGCUAAUGCCAGUCUUAGUGCUGACCAGUGGUCAUCUGCACUGAGCGCUGGUAAACCUGCAGUUAAUGUCCCACGGCAGCCCACAGUCACCAGCAUGUGUGCCGAGACUGCCCAGGAGCUAGCGGAGGGACAGAGAAGAGGAUCCCAGGGUGACAGUAAACAGCAAAAUGGCCCACCAAGAAAACACAUUAUGGAUCGUUAUACAGAGUUUUAUCACAUACCUACUCACAGUGACGCCAGUAAGAAGAGACUGAUUGAAGAUACUGAAGACUGGCGUCCAAGGACUGGAACGACUCAGUCUCGCUCUUUCCGAAUCCUCGCCCAGAUCACUGGGACUGAACGUAUGAAAGAAUCUGAAACUGAUAAUACAAAGAAGGCAAAGUAACGCCCAGGAGGCCUCUCAGCCACUGGCCGCCGCAGCAGCUGCAGCUGGGAGCACACCUGAGGGGCCGGGAAGCCCAGGCUCGGCCAGACCAGGGGUGGCCGGACUUACCACUGCUGCCGCCUUCAAGCCUCUAGGGUCCACUGGCGGCAUCAAGUCACCAAGCUGGCAACGGCCCAACCAAGCAGCACCUUCUACUGGAAGAGUCGCAAGCAGUGGGACAUCCACAGGAGCAGUGGCAUCAGCCAACUCAGCCGAAAGGCAGCCCCAGCCCAGUGAUGAGGACACUUUGGUGCAAAGGGCCGAGCACAUUCCCGCAGGGAAACGAACUCCAAUGUGUGCCCACUGCAACCAGGUCAUCAGGGGACCAUUCCUAGUGGCACUGGGGAAAUCUUGGCACCCAGAAGAAUUUAACUGUGCUCACUGCAAAAAUACGAUGGCCUACAUUGGAUUCGUAGAGGAGCAGGGAGCCCUGUAUUGUGAGCUCUGCUAUGAGAGAUUCUUUGCCCCUGUAUGUGGUCGAUGCCAGAGGAAGAUCCUUGGAGAAGUCAUCAAUGCUUUGAAACAAACUUGGCAUGUUUCCUGUUUUGUGUGUGUGGCCUGUGGGAAACCCAUUCGUAAUAAUGUCUUUCACUUGGAGGACGGCGAGCCCUACUGUGAGACUGAUUAUUAUGCCCUCUUUGGCACUAUAUGCCAUGGAUGUGAGUUUCCCAUAGAAGCUGGUGACAUGUUCCUGGAAGCUCUGGCCUACACCUGGCAUGACACUUGCUUUGUAUGCUCAGUAUGUUGUGAAAGUUUGGAAGGUCAGACCUUUUUCUCCAAGAAGGACAAGCCACUUUGCAAGAAACAUGCUCACUCUGUGAAUAUUUGAAAGUCAACAGUCCAGGGGAAGAGAAGAAAUUUGAAGUGAAAGAGGAGAAUUUAAAUCACCAAUUAAUUUUUAGAUUUAAUAUUUAUAUGGAGUUUUGAAAAAUAAUAGUGGCCCUG